GACAGCAGCCGCCGCCAGUCAGCAGCGGAGGCGGACGCAGAGCCUGGCCAAUGAGACGCGCGGAGGUGGCAGGGGGCGGGGUGUCUGCGGCCGGGGGAGCCCAGGGUAGGUGGGCGCCGAGUCAGACCCGGGGAUCCCGUGCGUGGGAGGUGUGCAGGCGGCGGCCGGGAGAGGGGUGUUUCACCAUUAAAACUGCCAGCUUUCUGCAGAUACUUCAGCAAGGGGUGGGAGUGCGGGGCGCGCCUGAAGCCCGAGUGUUAUUUUUGCAGUCCGUGAAAAUGUUCCCGCGUACCACAGAUUGAGGAUAGAUACCUGUUUGGCGGAUAGAGCCAUAGCACACCACAACAACUACCCCGAGAGGGCCCAGGCCCUUCUCAAUAGACACAAACUCUGCUCGCCACAUCUGUUCUCGGGAGGGCCAAGAUGCGUUGAGGAGUAAGCAGUGGGAUGUGUGGUGCCUAAUGAUAGGAGGAAAGAUUUAGGGCGUCGAAGAAAGUAUCCAGCAAAGGCUCUCCCCCAGAAGCACAACCCCUUCCUAUUCCUGUAGAGAUUUCUGCUGUGAUAGGUGUUUACUUUGUGAUCAAAGUGGAAAUGGCUUAAGUUACCCUUCAAGAAAUGCUUACCUUUUAAUAGAUUCUUGAAGUUCUCAAGGAAAGAGGAUGUUAAAAGCUAGAACGUUGGCAGGGACGUGGGAACUGCAAGAGGGCCAGCCCAUCGCCCGCCAGAUCACACCUAUUAUUGCCAACCGCACCUACCUGUAAGACUCAGUGCCCCUGUCAAUGGGUAUAUCUCAGACUUUACACUGCAUGACUCAAUCAGCCUACACCAGGACAAGUGCACUGUCAGCGCCUUCAAUAAACCAAGUUCUAGAAGAGUCUGAGGAUUUGGACAACACUAAUCAACCAAGCCAGAGGCACCCUUGCAGGACUCUACAUACACUCUUGACAUAUAUGACACGGAGAUGGAUCUGAAUAAGAAAAGGUUAGAGGAAGAGAGCUACUCCACCAUGACUCCCAAGAAUUCUGCUAAGUCAUUCUAGCUGCUCACCAACAUUUGUUUGCAAAGGAACUUUAUUGAUAGUCUUGAGCAACUUAAAAAAAUUUGUUCAUUGCAAAAGCUGGUGGCAUCACAAUCCCUGACUUCAAAAUAUAUUACAAAGCUAUAGUAAUCAAAACAGCAUGGUACUGUACAAGAACAGACACACAGAUCAAUGGAGCAGAACUGAAAGCCCAGAAAUAAAACUACACAUCUAUGGACAGCUAAUCUUCAACAAAGGAGCCAAGAACAUACGAUGGAGAAAGGAAAGCCUCUUUAAUAGACUCAAAA
rnacentral:lncRNA from 1 species